GAAGACUGAAAUGUGCUAAUUAAGAAAGAUGCCAUACCAAUCCAUACAAAAACUACCCUAGACUGGUAUCACAAUUCCACAGAGUGUCUAGGAAUACUACAAAUAAAAGUCUAAAAGAUUUAUUACAACACUGUCUCUGAAUUAUGUAAAAGAAAUAGACUAAAAGGAUAGGAGAAGAUGCCUAGGCCUGCAGAUGUCUGAAGGACUACCUCAGAAUCUCCGACUGGACUGAAGGCAGCCACCCAAGCUAAGGUCCGAAUGCUGCUGCUCCGGGAUCUGCNNNNNNNNNNNNNNNNNNNNNNNNNUGAAGUAGUGACGAGGCUAGGACCAGACUACCAAAUAAAACCUGUGCAGUAAAUCAUAUACAUCAGAAAAGAAGCACAUAAAUGUACAAUUAAGAAUGUGAGGGGGAACAUGCUGCGGGGAAACAUUAAAUGAUAAUAGAAAGACAACAGAUAAAUACAAGGAACACCAUAACUCAAGUAUCAACAAGGAAUUGUACAUCGUGUGGCACGACAUCACCCUUCGUGCUUUUACACUCUUCCUCACAAAAUCAUACACGAUAUCACCCUUCGUGCUCUAACACUCUCUCACCAAAACAAUGCACGACAUCACCCUUCGUGCUUUAACACUCUUCCUCACCCAAACAACAAUAGCAAAUAAUAAGGUCAAGGAAAUAAAUAAAAUUACAAAUGAAUCCCGGCAAGGGAACAAUAGUUCAACAGUCAAAUCCCAGCAAGGGAAUAAUAUCCAAACCAUCAACAUCCCGGCAAGGGAGAUAGCAUUAAAAGCAACAACAUCCCGGCAGAGAGACAAUAUAAUAAUUCUCUUCUCUUUUUCACUUUUACUUCACAACUCACUUCACAACUCGAGCCAAUGCUCUAUAAGAUUCAAUUGGUAAUUAUGCUUCCACAACUCAUUACAACUUGAGCCAACGCUCCUCAAUGUUCAAAUAUCACUAUUACUUCCAUAUGAUUUGCUCAACAAUAGAAGCCAUCACUUAAGGCAUGAACAAUACAAACGGAGUCACAUUAGUCAUAGAAUAAGACUCACGGGCAUGCUUGACACCAACGUAUAGAUACUCAUCACCAUGCCUAUACGUUGUACUCAACAAAUAUCACAUAGCAAAUAGGACACAACUCCUAAUCCCUCAAGCUAAGGUUAGACCAGACACUUACCUAGAUUCCACGAACACAAUUCAAGUCUCAACUAUCGCUUCACCUUUUGAUCCCACCACUAAUUCGCUCAUAUCUAGCCACAAGUUACUAAACUAUAUCAACAAAUGCUAAAUGAAUCAACUCCUAUGAAUGAAAAUAGGUUUUCUAAAGUUUUUCCCAAAAAGUCAAAAAUUACCCCCGGACCCACAUGGUCAAAACCCGAGGUUCGAACCAAAACCCGAUUAUCCAUUCCCCAACGAACCCAAAUAUAUAAUUUGUUUUGAAAUUGGACCUCAAAUCAAGGUCAAAAUCUCCAAAAUUUGAAAAACCUAGGUUCUACCCAAAACACCCAAUUUUCCCCAUGAAAAUCAUUGAUUUUGAGUUGAAAUAAUGUGAAAAGAUGUUAUAGAUUAAAGAAAACGAGUUUGAAAUGACUUACAAUCGAUUUGGAAGAGAAGUUGUCUUUGGAAAAUUUCCCAAGGGAGUUUAUGUUUUGAAAGAGUUUGAUAAAUGGAAGAUUUUCGGCUAAGUUGUGAAUUUGCAGGUCGCAGAUGUCGCAAUUGCGACCAGGGUAUGCAAUUGAGAACCCCUUCAGGACCUGCUAUCUUCGCAAUUGCGAAGAACAUGUUGCAAUUGCGACACAAGAAAUAUUCACUAAGCUUCGCAUUUGCGACUUUGGCCCCAUUCGCAUUUGCAAUCAAGUGGUCGCAAUUGCGAGCAAGGCCUGCCCAAGCCAUCUUCGCAUUUUCGAUCAAUAUUCGCCUUUGCGAAGCCUGCAUACCUGCAAUAUACCAGCAAUUUUCUAAGUGCAAAUUUCAUUCUGUAGCCUAUCUAAAAUUCACACGAGCCCUCGGGGCUCCAAACCAAACAUGCACAUUAACCUAAAAAUAUCAUACGGACUUGCUCGUGCGAUCAAAUCACCAAAAUAACAUCAACAACUAUGAAUUUAACAUCAAAAUCAAAUAAAAUCUCAAGAACUUUCAAAGUUUUAAAUUUUACAACUAAGGUUCCGAAUCACGUCAUAUGACCACCGUUUUUUACCAAAUUUUAUAGGCUCGACAUAAACUACAUAAGACCUGUACCGGGCUCCAGAACCAAAAUAUGGGCCCGAUACCAUCAAAUUCCAAACAUAUUUCAUUUCCAAAAACUCACACAUAUUCAAGAAAAUAAUUUUCUUUAAAAAUUCAUUUCUCGGGCUUGGGACCUCGGAAUUUGAUUUCGGGCAUAUGCCCCAGUCCCAUAUUUUCCUACGGACCUUCCGAGACCGUCAAAUCAUGGGUUCGGGUCCGUUUACUCAAAAUAUUGACCGAAGUCAACUUAAAUUCAUUUUAAAGGAAAAUUUUAUUAUUUUUCACAGAUUUUCACAUAAUGGCUUUCCGGCUAUGCGCCCGGACUGCACACACAAAUCGGGGUAAGGUAAAAAGGAGGUUUUAAGGCCUCAGAAGACAUGAUUUGUUUCUAAAAUAAGUGAUGACCUUUCGGAUCAUCACACAUCGGGGCUCGACUAAUCUAUUUGGAUACGGUUCAUUCGACCGUGUGGCUCAUUACAAAGUUUCCCUAUCAAGAGCAUUUGAUAUGAAGUAUUUUCCUCGUAACUAUAACCUCCGAGGGUGAUUCCUCCCAGUAUUCGAGGUUGAUUGAAAAGAAGCCUUGGAUACUGUUGAAUUUUCCUCAAGUAGCAUAUAGUUGUUGCCUCAUUAAAAACCUCGCCGAAAAAACCCAUUUGGGAUAAAAACUGAUCUAAGGGAAAUAGAGUACAACAUGUGCUUUAAAACCUAAGGUUUUCAUGUUGAAGAUUUUUCUCGACAUCUUCGAUCGAACACAUGCAAUAAGUUAGUAUCAAACACAAAUGGAAAAGGGGAAAAGUCAUGCCUGAGCAAUAAUACUGUUUGAGGACUGACACAUUCCAAUUGUUUGGCAAUUGUUCGCCCUUCAUUGUGCCAAGUUUUUAAGAUCCCUUUCCGAUGAUACUGAGGACUCGAUAUGGUCCUUCCCAAUUUGGGCCUAGUUUCCCUUCGUUUGGGUAUCAAGUAUUGAGGGUGACUUUCCUUAGAACUAAGUCCCCGAUUCCGAAGUGGUGAAGGUUGGCUCUUCUAUUAUAAUAUCUCUCAAUUCUUUGCUUUUGUGCAGCCAUCCGAACAACUGCAGCUUCUCGUUGUUCAUCCAAUAGUUCGAGGCUAGUAUUCAUAGCCUCAUGAUUUGAUUCUUCUGUUGUGUGUUGAAACCUGGCACUGGGUUCCCCGACUUUGACCAGAAUCAAUGCCUCAGAGUCAUAUACUAAGGAGAAUGGGGUUGCCCCCGCGUUGGACUUUGAUGUUGUUCGAUAUGCCCAAAGAACCUUGGGUAGAAUCUCUCUCCAUUUUCCCUUGGCAUUGUUUAAUCUUUUCUUUAGAUUCUGGAUGAUACUUUUGUUUGUCGACUCGGCCUGUCCGUUUCCACUUCGGUGAUAUGGUGAGAUAACUUUUAUUUUAUCUUCCUCAAGAAACCUCGUGACCUUGCUGCCGAUGAAUUGCUUUCUGUUGUCGUAUAUAAUUUCGGCAGGUAUCCCGAACCGGCACAUGAUGUGAUCCCAGAUGAAGUCUAUAACUUCUUUUUCUCUGACCUUUUCGAAGGCUUGUGUUUUCAACCAUUUAGAAACGUAGUCAGUCAUAAACAAAAUGAAUUUAGCCUUACUUGGGGCCGAUGGCAGAGGGCCAACGAUAUCCAUCCCCCAUUUCAUGAAUGGCCAUGACGACAUGACUGAAUGAAGUUGUUCUUCGGGCUGGUGGAUCAUCGAUGCAAAACUUUGACAUUUAUCACAUUUUUGAACAAACUCCUUGAUGUCUUUUUCCAUGCUAUCCUAGUAGUACCUUGCUCUAAUGAUUUUGUGAAUCAAAGAUUCGGCGCCGGAGUGGUUCCAACAAGUGCCUUCAUGGACCUCCCGUAAAACACAAUCGGUGUCCCCCAGCCCUAAACAUACUGCCAAUGGUCCAUUGAAUGUUCUCAUGUAUAGUGUUCCAUCUUCAUCUUGCCACACCUCCUUUUUCUACCCGUAAAGGGUAUAAGGGAGUUUUUCCAAUUAAAGUGACAAAAAUCGAAACAGGAUUAUUUAUAUCAAAUUCAGAGUCACCACUUGGGAUAAUUUAUGAUGUCCCAAGUCACCGGUUUAAAAUCCCGAAUCGAGGAAAGUUUGACUCUGUUUUACAGUCAGCGAAACACAGAAAUUUAGGUAAGGAAUUUUGUUAACCCGGGAGAAGGUGUUAGGCAUUCACGAGUUUUGUGAUUUUAGCACGGUCGCUCAACUAUUACUAUUGGCCUAAUUAUCUGGUCAAUAACACAUUUUAAACCUUCGUGCAUUUUCACUUUCUAGCUGCUUUUAAUGUUUUUAGGAAAAUUCAUGAUUUGUUUUUUGAAAACACAUCGUAUCAUGAAAUGCACCCGCGGUUCACGACACGCUUAUUUUAUUUAACAUUAUUGGAAAUUGAUGUUGGGUCACAUGAAAUGUACACCCUAAUUUGGAAAUUAUAUAUCACAACUACGUCACGGGAACCUUACCAUAGUCGUGAUGAUGUAUUAAUCGCGCCUAAAGCUUAAUAACAUGUUUAUGAAAAGUAAAACAAAACUAGGAUAAAUAAAUAAAUAAAACUCAUUUCAUGCUCCAUUUCGUUUUAAGUUCUUAUUUUAUGCAUUUGACCAAGCCUACUUCUUAAAGGAUGUGAAUAAAUUAAUUACUAACGGGCUCGGCCUUUUCCCACUCUCCGAGAGCCAAUAUCAUUCAAGGCGAAUUUGCACCCAAAAGGACAAAAAUGAUGAAUUCAAGUAGAUAAGCAUCCCAAAAUGCACAAAAUAGAAUUCUUUAACCAGCAACCAUCCUCUCCUAAACAAAGAUAACCUUUCUAGGAGCAAAUGCCACAACGUCCAUUUCUUUAUAACUCUCUCUUUGAUGAAUAAGAAGUUGUAAUUUGACAGAGAUUAGAAUUGCAGGAGUGUAUGUAGAGGAAGCUAAAGAAUUGAAAAUGGAUUUGAAGAGGAGGAGUAGAAGGAUUAUGGAAACGCCAUCUAUAUCGAGCAACAAUCCAAUUUUGACCUGUCGACCUCAAAAUGUGAUCAAUAGAAGGUACAUAUCUUAACAGAGGAUAGCAACUGAUGUAUCGUAAUGGAAAUCGACUUAAAUCAAUAAUUGUGAGCUUGACUGGGCCGGAGAUGCAGCAGAGCAUAAAACUUCUAGCACCUAAAUGAGUCAGAAAGGCUUCGAACUAAAUCAACCAAAUAAGAUAAAACAUGACCCAUGGAAAAUUAUUUUUUACUCCCAGGAAAUCAGUUGGCUGAAACGUUGUAUUGACUUCAAACUAAAGUUGGACCCAAUUUAAUACUAAAAGGAAAUAGUUUUUCAAAGAAGCAUAGUAGAGAUCCAGAAAUUAAUUUCAAAACAGAAGACUUCAAAUAACGAACUGCAUCUAUAACAAAAACUUGAAGCUGUCCAUUUUUGCCGAAGAACUUAAUUAAGGCGAUAAAUUAGAAUAGUGACGACGAGACCUUAAUUCUUUUUCUUUCAAAUCCUAACACAAUGUUGCUCUACAGAUUUAUGACUUGAAGUAAUUAAACUACUUCAAAGAAAGAAUCAGUAGCAAACAGAACCAAUUGAGUAAAAAAAAUUUGCCAAAACCAAUGAAAAACAACAGAAUUCACGACAAAAAUUGCAUCACAGACUGGUUUCACAUAAACCAGCUCAUAAACAUUCUAAAUCUAACAAAAUUUCAACUAUCAGCAUAUUUCGAUCAAUGCCAGAACAAGUUAAGAGGGAGUAAAGAGAUAAACCUAAAAUCAAACCUUUCUUUUGAUAAUAGAUGUGAGGUUGACUACAAAGCUUUGAAUCCAAAAUCCCAGCAAGAAAAUAACAGCAAUUCAAAGUAAGAUAACACGAACCAGUAGCAGGACUGCAAUGGCAAUUCAAGUCAAUCAAACUCCCAAUACCUCAGUUGAACUCCAUUUUUCAACCAAAAUUUCAAAAUUGAAACAGAGGAAGCAAACCUUAUUUUUAUUUUUUUGUUUUUUUCUGUAUCCAAAUAAAAGAAAAACUGAAGUUUCUAUAUUUUUCAAGAGAUACUCUAGAAAUUCUGAAGGAAAAUCUGAAAUUCGACCUAGCCCUAGAACUUUUACCUCUCAAAAUUUUCUCCGAAAAUCUGUCCCCAGCCCAAAAUCUCUGAAAACCCCACUAUAUAUACUCAACUCUCGAAGCUUCUGCCCUUUCUCCAAGAAAUCACCAAAUAUUCCUCCUAAAUCCGAAAACGCCACAAAAAAUCUCACAUAGAACAAAAACCGACAAAUGGAAGGUGUGGAUGUGAUUUCUCGCAUUCAAUCGCUCCCAUUUACCCGAAAUUCGUCCCAAGAAAUCAAAAGCGCAUGAGAAUGUGGUGAAGCUGAAAAUAUUCGGUCAGAAACGGUUAUGCCACGUUAGAGAGACGAAAGGAGGGGACCAUGUGCGAUGAGUUUGGGGGAAGAACUCGUCUGAAACUCAGACGAGUUUGGGUGAACUUGGGCGAGGCAGAAUCAGAGCUGGGGGGAGGCGCCGUUUGGGGGUAUAGAUUAGGAUUUGGUCUUUUGUUUUUAAUAUAAAGCUUAUGUUUGGGGAAGUGGGGCGGGUCAAACCCGAUCUAGGCUAGGUUGGG
rnacentral:lncRNA from 1 species